AACGAACGCUGGCGGCAUGCCUAACACAUGCAAGUCGAACGAGACCUUCGGGUCUAGUGGCGCACGGGUGCGUAACGCGUGGGAACCUGCCCUUAGGUUCGGAAUAACUCCCCGAAAGGGGUGCUAAUACCGGAUAAUGUCUUCGGACCAAAGAUUUAUCGCCUUUGGAUGGGCCCGCGUUGGAUUAGCUAGUUGGUAGGGUAAAAGCCUACCAAGGCGACGAUCCAUAGCUGGUCUGAGAGAAUGAUCAGCCACACCGGGACUGAGACACGGCCCAGAAUCCUACGGGAGGCAGCAGUGGGGAAUAUUGCACAAUGGGCGAAGGCCUGAUCCAGCAAUGCCGCGUGAGUGAUGAAGGCCUUAGGGUUGUAAAGCUCUUUUACCCGGGAUGAUAAUGACAGUACCGGGAGAAUAAGCUCCGGCUAACUCCGUG
rnacentral:rRNA from 1 species